rnacentral:rRNA from 1 species
AAGGGCACCACAAGAACGCGUGGAGCAUGUGGCUUAAUUUGACUCAACGCGGGAAAUCUUACCGGGUCCGGACACACUGAGGAUUGACAGGUGUUUCGUAUAUAGACUUAACUUGUAUUUAUACUUGUUUUGCUUCUUAUACAUAUCAAAUAUGCUAGUCCUUUCAUGAUUGUGUGAUAGGUGGUGCAUGGCCGUUCUUAGUUCGUGGAGUGAUCUGUCUGCUUAAUUGCGUUUCACUUAUAGUAUUUGAUACACUAUAGUUAUUACUUGUGACCUCACUUUUAUAGUGACGAGUCCAGUAUAGCUUGUGUACUUUUACUUCGAAGGCAACGAACGUGACCG